rnacentral:lncRNA from 1 species
UGGGGUUCAACAUAUCACCAGAUGAUGAUGAGGAGGAGGAGGAGGGUGCAAAGCUGAUCAGUAUUUUCUCUUACUCCUUAAUGGCAUGUGUCUUUCGGAGAAUAACAAAUACCAAUUUUAACGUCAAUGGUUUGACCCUGCCGUAGAUCGAACCCUCGACCUCCUGUAUACGAGGCGAGGACGCAACCACGAGACCACACAGGCGGUUCAGGAUAAAAGCUUUAAGUUUUAG